UUUCUCUGUGCAGAGAUUCAUGAAAUAUUGGAAUGCGAGGAAAAGCCAACGCUCCUGGAUCGGCCUCAGUGACCAUAUACGUGAAGGUUCCUGGCAGUGGGUGGACGGCAGCCCCCUCAAACUCAGCUUUUGGAAAGAGGGGGAGCCUAACAAUGAUGGGGAUGAGGACUGCGUGGAGCUGUUCAUGGACGACUGGAAUGAUAAUAAGUGCACCGAACAAAACUUCUGGGUCUGUGAGCAGCCCUCGGCUCCCUGCCCCGCUCACAGAGGGUCUGUGCUCCCCUAGUCACGCAGGCAACUCGGGGGUACUCUGCUCCAGUUCUAACCGCCUUCUUCAUCCCAGUGUCCAUGUUCUGAGACCUUUGAGAUCCUGAGAGAUUCCCUGAGGCACCCUCCCCUGCAGCUCUUCCCUCUUCCUCUGUGGGUGAUUUAACACAGUUCCCAAGCCCAUGAAUCCCCUCAGUAGAGUCACACAAUAAGGUGUUGGUGUGUAUCUAAUUGAUAUACUCCAGUUUGCCUAGCAUGGGUGGCUCUCUGAGUCCCAUCCCCAGCACCCGAAUGAAAGAAUAAACUAUUAAAUUUAUACAAGC